GCACUGCUGAGGAGUCCCACAAUCGAACGAAACGCACGUCCAGUGC
rnacentral:hammerhead_ribozyme from 1 species